UACAGAGGUCUCAAGCGUUGUUCGGAUUCAUUGGGCGUAAAGGGUGCGUAGGUGGCGUGGUAAGUCGGGUGUGAAAUUUCGGAGCUUAACUCCGAAACUGCAUUCGAUACUGCCGUGCUUGAGGACUGGAGAGGAGACUGGAAUUCCCGGUGUAGCGGUGAAAUGUGUAGAGAUCGGGAGGAACACCGGUGGCGAAGGCGGGUCUCUGGGCAUCUCCUGACGCUGAGGCGCGAAAGCGUGGGGAGCAAACGGG
rnacentral:rRNA from 1 species